rnacentral:misc_RNA from 1 species
GAACGAAAACCCUGCCAAACCUAAAACCCACGCUAAUUUCCCUAUCAUCCCUAACCGCAAUCCACCUCUUCCUUCUCCAGGUCCAGAGUCCAGAUUCGGGACUAGAUACGGAAAAAUUCACACAUCAGAGAAACCGGAAAAACCCUAGAUUGGCAAAAUGUCGAUGUCCAAGAGCUCCAAGAUGCUCCAAUACAUCAACUAUCGGAUGCGGGUUACCAUCCAGGACGGUCGCCAGCUGGUCGGAAAGUUCAUGGCCUUUGACCGCCACAUGAAUCUCGUCCUCGGAGACUGCGAGGAGUUUCGCAAGCUCCCUCCAGCCAAGGGCAAGAAGAACAACGAGGAGCGAGAGGACCGCCGCACUCUUGGCCUUGUUCUCCUCCGUGGUGAAGAGGUUAUCUCCAUGACCGUUGAGGGCCCUCCUCCUCCUGAAGAGUCUCGGGCUAAGGCUGUUUCUGCAACUGCCGUUACUGGUCCUGGCAUUGGCCGCGCAGCGGGCCGUGGGAUUCCCACCGCUCCUCUCAUUCAGGCCCAGCCUGGCCUCGCGGGCCCUGUCCGUGGCAUUGGUGGGCCUGCACCUGGCAUGAUGCAGCCGCAGCUCUCGCGUCCUCCGGUCCCACAACUUUCUGCUCCGCCUAUGACUUACCCUGCAGCAGCGGCUCCACCGGCUGGUGCCGCGCCUGUCAUACGGCCGCCUGGCCAGAUGCCUCCUCCUGCUUAUCCUGGUCAAGCUCCUCCAAUGGGUCGGGGUCCACCUCCGCCGCUUCCGCCUCAGUUUGCCGGUAGGCCACCACAACAGGGUUUCCCUAUGCCGCCACAGUUUGCACAGAGGCCAAUGGGAAUGCCACCCCAGCAACAGGCACCCAUGAUGAGAGGGCCUCCUGCUCCACCAAGACCUGGAAUGCAACCCCCACCUCCUCGCCCUGGAAUGCCUCCUCCGGCAGGUGGUGUUCCUGUUUAUGGACCUCCUCGUCCUGGCAUGCCACCACCUCCUCACAAUCCCCAACAGCAGCAGCAUAUUCAGCAGCAACAAUGAUUAGGGCUGUUGCAGUUGUGCUUUGAAAGUUCUCAGAUGAAGUUUGUAGAAGGGCUUUCUCAAGUGCUGAAGUCUUUAUUGAGUUUCGCCUUGCGCUGUGCACAUCUAAUGUCGAUUUCACUAGCAUUUUGAACUAAUGUGUAUCCUUCUCCUAUUAUAGUUCAGGAUUUUGUUGUGCUGCAAUGGUACUAUAAGCCAUGUUGGCCGAGUGGAGGGUCUGUCCUAUCAAAGUUAUAUUAGCACAUAUGAUCAUUAGAUUUAGACAAAAAAAUAUUUGGCAAUGCAGCAUUUUAAUUGAAUUUUUACCUGUUUUUGGCUAAAUGGAAGUGAUAUAGCUGGGAUUUGAUGGGUUGGCCCUCUUUUCCAUCCCUCGUAAAUCUUAAGUUAUUAAAC